UCUUGGUCAUUUAGAGGAAGUAAAAAGUCGUAACAAAGGUUUCCGUAGGUGAACCUGCGGAAGGAUCAUUA
rnacentral:rRNA from 1 species